rnacentral:rRNA from 1 species
ACGCUCGACACCUACGGGGGGCAGCAGUGGGGAAUAUUGCACAAUGGGGGAAACCCUGAUGCAGCGACGCCGCGUGAGCGAAGAAGUAUUUCGGUAUGUAAAGCUCUAUCAGCAGGGAAGAUCAUGACGGUACCUGACUAAGAAGCUCCGGCUAAAUACGUGCCAGCAGCCACGGUAAUCUGAGCGGGCUGGCAAGGC